rnacentral:lncRNA from 1 species
UCCAUCUGUAAGGGUGUACCCUUCUGUAGAAGUACCUUGCCUUGCUGAGAAUUAAAAAGAAAAUUUUAUAUUCGAGUACUAGUUCUUUUGCAGCACCGAAACUUUAUUUAUAACAAUUUGGGGCCUCACCGGUGAUUACAUUAUCCUCCGGGGGCGGUCUCUGGUUCUCUCUUCUGAGGAGACAUGCCCCGCCCCCUUGUGGCGGCCUCGGGGGUGAGAACUCAAGACCCACUCAGUGCGAGGAAUAACCGCAGCUCUCAGCAACGCGCAGGGGAGGGGCUGGGGGGAGGGACUGGCCAGCAACCUAGCUUAAAGGAUCCUCAUAGACUGCAGCGACGAUUCUGUGCACAGACUAAGGAAGGAGAAGCUGCAGGAACCGUUUCCUGAGUUGCAAGUUUAGGCUCUUGGCUGUAAACAGUUCUUCUUUCCUAAUAUUUCAAACAUUUCAUUGAAGGAGAUCAAGAAAAUUAAUUACUGAUCAAGAGCCCACCUAAACUUGAAAACAAGCUUAUGUUACUAUAGAAGAAUGAGAGAUCACCUGGGCAAAUAUAAGACAUUUUAGAUGAUCCAUAAUAGAAUUACUAACCUCCAGUCUGUCUGCCAGCUCCACAAAGACACAAGAGCAAACCCAGAAAUUCUGAGAACCUUCCUUGAAAUCAUUGAACAGCAAAUGAACAAGCUGUUGCCAACCUGGGGUAGAAGACAGCAGUUCUAGAAGCUGAGAAGUCCAACAUCAAGGCACAGGCAGGUGGCAGGUUUGAUUGUCUGGUGAAGGCUGCCCUCUGCUUCCAAGAUGGACCCUUGUUGUUGCAUUUUCUGGAAAAAAGGAACACUGUGUUCUCAGAUGGCUGAAAGCAGAAGGAACCUCAGGCCAAGUGUUCUUGACAGCUCAUCCACAGACUCCCACUGGUAAAGCAGCAUGAGGAUGGCUUCUGUUAUUUUAUUUCAGAAUUUUUUCCUGCAGUGGCAUGCCAGUACCAGCUGAGGAUCAUGUAUGCAAUAUUUGCCUUCUUUCAUCUUCUACCUAGGAUGGCUUUAAUUCUCUUCGAGGAGAAUUUAUUUUAGUUUUUCCCAGUAAGAGAAUCCACUUCUCUUGCCCAUAUUCAUAAAUUAUCAUUAAAAAUUAAACUUGGUACAAUAAAUAUUAACAUGGUUCCAGCUUCUCCAUUGUUAUGCUCAGAAUUCAGUUCAUUGGCAGGAUCUAGGCAUAGGAUCAGUCCAAAGUUGGGCCAAGGCACAAGGAAGGUUUGCACAAGUUUAGAGCAUCAUUGAGAAUCCAUAUGGCAUCAAAUUCUGACCAUCAGAACCAAUCAUUUUAGUCAAAUUGCUGAGACACAAAUUAAGUCCAGGAAUCGGUAG